GUCAUUGUUGUCAUCACCGUGGUCACCGUCCUCAUCAAUGGAACAACGCCCAACGGCCCACCACUAUUGAAGAUCAACAACUGAACCAUGAACCAUGCUGGACCCAUGGUGAACCUCCUCUCCCUCCUAUAAAUUGGAGUGAGACAGUGACACAUUCAGUCGUUGGAGACAGGGUUGGUAUGACAAAGUUCAUGGAGGAGAGAACUCAGCAACUUCUGAUGAAGUCAGUAAAAGCCAUCCCUCUGCUGUAAGAGAUGUGGAUUUUGAUGAACAGCAAAUCAGUCUUUUAACUGCAGUUUGAAGAGAAGGAUGUCAAUAACCAGUUCUGAAGUAGAACUAAGUAGAACUACCCACACUGAGCAUGCAUUCCAACAGUUUUUGAAGGAAUCCUGAUAAAAUCACCAGGCAAGAGAAAAGCAGCAGUGAAUUAGAGAAAUCGGAACUGAGUAAUAGAGUUCAUUAAGUGAGAAAUGGAGGAGAAAUGAAGUCCAACAGUAUCAUCCACUGGUCUUCCAUCCUCCUUCUAUCAGUAAUAUGAGCAAUGAUAACCCAAGUUUUAAGCCACUGCCUCAAUUACAGUAGAAUCCUAGAUGCUGCUGAAUCCUAGAUGUUGUUAAGGGUUACAGAGCCAUCCGGAUAUGUGGAGAUGGUCUCAGGAAAGCCAAGGCACAGGUGAAAUUAAACUUGCUGAAGGAUAUGACAAAUACCAAGAAGGAAUUCUACAGGUACAUUGGUCAGAAGUGACAGUCCAGGGAGUGAAUACCUCCUCUGAUAAAUGAGAAGGGAGAACUGGCAACAGCAAACAUGGAAAAGACUGAGAUCAACCAACAACUACGGUGUGAAAUUUGAUGAAGUUGCCUCUGUCUACAGAAAGUAUCAGAGAAGGAUACCAAGGCACCAAGGUAUCAAGGACAUAACAGUUAAACUCUUGUAUUCUUAUGGCUACUUAUCUGAUGUUCUUAGGACAAAUAAUGAUCAGUAGUAUUGUCUUGAUAUUAUGAGAAUAUGGAACAUCUCUUGAGCUGAACAACGUAACAUAGCUACAUGCUUUGUUAUAUUUGCCAAAUGUAUUCUUAUUAAAAAAUGUGCAUUAUUAUACAUUUGCUGAAAAGGUAGUAUAAAUGACCUUUGCAUGUCCUUUUUCUUCUGAUUAGAAUUAUGCACCUAUAACUUUUUACAUGAAAGUUUAGUGUGCUUAAAGACAUUUACCAGUGCAGAGAUUGCUACAUCCAGUAGUUGUAUUCAUAUUUUCAGAGAAAUUCUUUAUGGAUAAAUAUUUGAAGUAUAUGGACUAGUUAAUAGGGAUGCAACUUGGUCUCCCUAGUGUAGAAAUUUAAUACCAUUUAAACAUCCUAAGAAAUCCAGCUGUUGUGCUUUGUCUACCUUAUAGUUGUUUCA